CAUAGAUACUACAUACACACAUGGAUAUGAAACAGGAAGUCGGUAUCCAAUUAACUCUUUGAAGUUCACCUGUAAACGUCAUAACCAGCAUAGCUCUAUCCUUGGCGCUUUUCUCUCUGUCUAUGUUUUCAAGAAUUUUCUUGACUCACUUAUUUUUGUGAAAGAAGGCCUCAUGUUUACAUGACAAAAUUAGAAGACCUCCAUUUUUAUUUGUAACCACCUUUUCUAGACUCUCGAACGGAGUUAGCUAGUAAGUCUUGGAAUCAUAAUAGUGUAUUGUUUGUUACAUGGACUGAAACUAUUCUCGUGUCAAUGUAAUGAGAAAUGACUGAGAUAAUAGCCAAAAACUAGUUUUUUAAUAUUAAUUUUGUAACCACCUUUUUGAGACUUCUGCACCAGGUAUGAACAAGUUACUACUUUGAGUGUAUUCAUUAAGGCCUCUUAUAUAGACUGUUUAUGGUUUCAUUUUUCUAGAUGCUAUGUUUCAAAAGUAAUAAUAUAUUUUUUGCAAGUGUUUCAAAGGGUGUGGUUUAAUUUUUAGUGAGAACUGAGUAGUGAAAGAAUAGGUUAUUUACCAAGAAACACAAGCAGGAUUUCAGUGGCAUUGAUGAGACAUUGUUACAUGAUUGUAAAGCUUUAUAUUUAUGCUACCACAGAGAACUAUCAAGAUAGAGAUGAUGUACAUUACAGUAUGUACUGUAUGGUGAUACAUUAAAAUUUGUUGAAGGACUCAUAAUAAUAAUCAAUCUAUUGG
rnacentral:lncRNA from 1 species